UGGCGGACGGGUGAGUAACGCGUGGGUAACCUGCCUCAUACAGGGGGAUAACAGUUAGAAAUGACUGCUAAUACCGCAUAAGACCACAGCACCGCAUGGUGCAGGGGUAAAAACUCCGGUGGUAUGAGAUGGACCCGCGUCUGAUUAGGUAGUUGGUGGGGUAACGGCCUACCAAGCCGACGAUCAGUAGCCGGACUGAGAGGUUGAACGGCCACAUUGGGACUGAGACACGGCCCAG
rnacentral:rRNA from 1 species